UACGGAGGGUGCAAGCGUUAUCCGGAUUUACUGGGUUUAAAGGGUGCGUAGGUGGGUAGGUAAGUCAGUGGUGAAAUCUUCGAGCUUAACUCGGAAACUGCCAUUGAUACUAUUUAUCUUGAAUACUUUGGAGGUAAGCGGAAUAUGUCAUGUAGCGGUGAAAUGCUUAGAUAUGACAUAGAACACCGAUUGCGAAGGCAGCUGGCUACAGGGAUAUUGACACUGAGGCACGAAAGCGUGGGGAUCAAACAGG
rnacentral:rRNA from 1 species